UACGUAGGGUGCAAGCGUUAAUCGGAAUUACUGGGCGUAAAGCGUGCGCAGGCGGUUGUGCAAGACAGGUGUGAAAUCCCCGGGCUUAACCUGGGAACUGCACUUGUGACUGCACGGCUGGAGUACGGCAGAGGGGAUGGAAUUCCGCGUGUAGCAGUGAAAUGCGUAGAUAUGCGGAGGAACACCGAUGGCGAAGGCAGUCCCUGGGUCAAGAUUGACGCUCAUGCACGAAGCGUGGGAGCAACAGG
rnacentral:rRNA from 1 species